GUCCUACAUAUUUACUCUGCUAAUGAGCCCCCAAAUAACAGAGGUAUGGCCCAUGCUUUCUCAGAGGUCUUUCCUGGACAGGGACUCAGAAUCUCCAGUCCUUGCCUUAAAAGUAGGACGCUGAUUUUCUGAGUUACCUGUAUGUGAAUCAGUGAACAAACUAAGACAAACAGCUAUGGAAGGACACUCAUAGAGCGCAUAGAAGCUGAACAGAUUCCUUGAAAGAAUAUUAUG
rnacentral:lncRNA from 1 species